rnacentral:rRNA from 1 species
AAAGAUUUGAUAAUGGUUCAAGGACUGCAAGAAUCUUUGGAAAAAACGAGCUCCCUCCCUCCCUCGUCCGCCGCCGCUCCCUCCCACCACCUCCUCCUCCUUCUUCUGCGCCCUAGGAGCCCCGCCGCCGCCUGCUACUCCUUCACCGCCUCGCCUCUUCCUCCUCCCCGCCUUCCCAUCGCUUAGGUUGGCGGUUAGCGGCGGCUCGAUCCACUCCGUGGUUUCAGAUGGGCCGCCUUCCCCAUCUCUUGUCCGUGUCCGGUGCCGUCACUCGAUCUUGAUCUUGGGAGCAUGCGGGAGAGAGGCGUCGUGUCUAUUGCCAGGACGGGACAUGGGGGUGGAGGCGAGCGAGAGAGCGGAUGUUGCUGAAGAAGCUGGGGAGGCAAGACGAGGGCGGCGUGGCGUUCCGUGGCCGCGGUGGCCAGAGGGGCGGCUCCAUGUCGCGGUGUAUGAGGUGCCUAGAGGAGGAUGCUGCGGCAGGUUAAACUCCUCUCCCGUUGUAGAGCAGUCCGCAGUGCCAUCACCGUCGUCCUUGCCUUCGAGCCAUCCGUGCCGCCGUCGCCGUCGCCUAGAGGACGCCGGUAGGAAGCAGCAGCUCACCGUUUCCUUGGUCCCCGCCGACGCCAAGCGAGAAGAGAAGGCACGUGUGCUGUAGGUGUAGCAAAUUGGACAAGCUACAUCGCUAAUGCCGGGUGUAUGGAGCUCAGGAAGGCUAUCUGCAACAAGCUUCAGGAGGAUAAUGGUCUAACCUAUAGCCCAGAUCAUGUGCUAGCAACCAAUGGGGCUAAGCAAUGCACUACACACGCUGUUCUUGAUGUUCUCUCAUGUGGUGAUGAGCGCCAUGGAUCAGUCCCUGCUAUAGGAGAGAGAGAAGAUGAGAGGAUGAGAGAGAAGGAAGGAGAGGAGGGAGAAAGAGAGAGGAAAGAGUACCUGGAGGUGCGUCGACCGGCGUCGGCAUGUGCUGGCAAGGUUGGGCGGGACCGGGUGGUUGGCUGCGGCUCCGUGGUUUCAGAUGGGGCACCGUGGGGAGCCAGGGAGGCAGCUUGGCCCAGCCAUGGCGUUGGUGCUGCGGAGAGCCGCCUCGCGCUACUUCAUCGUCGACACUACAGGCUUCGCCGCCGCCUACGCGAUGCCGCCCCAGGGGGAUCAGCAGCAGCCCCCCUCGCUGCAGGGGCCCAGCCAGCAGGUCGGGGCCAAGCUGGGGCCCUGCAUCGAGUGCAGCGCCACCGGCACAAGAAGUGCUCUGGGUGCAAGUGCAUGCAUAUUGGAUUAAUGAUUAAGCGGUUCAUGGUGUUGAGCAUAAGGUAGUUGAUGAGCCAGGGAGGCGGCUUGGCCCAGCCAUGGCGCUGGUGCUGCGGACUCCCCGCCGCGUGGCGUCUCACUGCUCGUCCCUUCUGGUCACACCUCCCCAUGUAAAUUUGAAGCCUAAGGUGCCAACAAAGGUAGUUUGUGCUGAACAUCUUGAGUUACAGAACGAGAUACUCACACUGCUUAACAUACAGAGGCAAGUACUUUCCUAAAGGAGCUCCUGAAUGCUUUAGGCUUUGAUGUCUGCUUUAGUCUGAUAUUUCCAUUUGAUCUUCCAAAAGGAGCAACCAUCACAGUGCUGAAAUUAUGUUCCACUUGAUGGUUCUUAAUUGUAUUUCUCAGUUUAGGUUUGGACUUGCACUAUAGGUGGUUGCGAAUCUCAGUCUUUGCGUGUCUGUCUAUGACAUCCUUGCCGUCGAAGGCGGAUUCACCUUUCCAUGAUAGGGCUGCUCGACGUAUAAAGUAAUUAGUGCCAUCAUCUUUGCCAUCCAUUUAUCUUUAUUAAGGAAUGUGAUGUUACUACUUACUAAUUAUGUAUGUUGUUUAGUAUUUGCAGAAGCAUUCUCAACUUUCCUCUGUACUUUCUCUUUUCUCUAUACUUUGUUUGGGUAGUAUUUACCCUGUCCCGAGAAUAGCAGAGAUAGACAUGCCUAUGUGUACAGCUAAGUAAUCAAAAUAGUUGAGAUAGACAUGCCUAUGUCUACAGGAAAACCAGCUUAACAUUCAUAUCUCAACUCCCUAUCCACUCUGACCAGACAUAAAAUUAAGCUUAGGUCAGCAAACUGGAAAAAGGGCAUAUAUGGUUACCGUGUAGAGUAUGUGAGUAAAUACACAUGUUGCAUGGUGCAUGUUUUUUGCUGUGAGUUUCUUUGUAUGCUAGCGGAGCUCGAGUUCAAUAGUUCUUCACAUUACAUAUUUGUUAUUCACCCCCGUACUGCAUUUCUGUAAAAUACAUUGGUUCCAGUCUUGACUAUGGGCUGUUUUGCCAUGCUUACAUCAGAGCUCAAAAGUAGAUGUCAUCAGCAAGUAGGUGAUACAUGUCUAUCUGAUUUAGCAUUUUGGAAUUGCUCACAACAUUUCUUUCGGCAUGUCAAUGAAAAUGGCACCUUCCCAUUCUGAUGUUCAUUAUGUUUCUUGAAGCCCUCACCAUCUUUAUAUUCAUUACAUAUUCUCAAAAGCUUAUUUCUUAAUAAUACCUAAAGUGAAUACCAUGAGCUACCUCUCCAGUUUAUUCUUAUUUGAGUAUUAAGAGCACCUACAUUGCUUUGGUUCUGUAUGACUGAUCAAAUUUACACACACCUCAACCAUAGUAAAAUCUGGAAGACGACGUAAAAGAAUCAAAGAAAAGUAGAGAUGCACAAUAGUUUUUGCUUUUCAGGGAUUGUUCUUGGGUUCAGCUUUCGCCGGCAUGUUGUUAUUAUAGAGUUACCGUAUCUCUUUGAAUCGUCAUAUGUACUCCAAACUCUUAUAGAUUAUGCAACUAGCUAAUGGUUGGAACUUUUACUCAACUUUAUUAUAGGUGGCACAAAGUCAUGUUAGUUGCCAUUUUAUUGCUACAGAUAUGUUCUUGUUCUGAUUGUUUAUGUGAUGAUUAUAUUCAUGUGUAUGUAGCACAACCUCAUGUUUACAUUUGGCUUGAAGUCGGCUGUACUUUUUUUUGCUUUUGUUACAAGAUAUAUCAUCAAUUUCUUGUCUGGACGUACUUUUAUUAGUUUGCUUCUAACUGCAUCUUAAUAUGUACUCAGUAGGCUCUACAGGAUUCGAUGAUGGAUGUGUGAAUGUGAGCAAUCAGGAUAUAAAUUUCUUCCAACAGCAAGACAUGCUGAUUAGAUUCAGGAAUAUGUUCUUGCGUCCCAGCUUUGCAGCUUCACGUUGUAGGACUAAUAUUUGGUACCUGACAUGAGAUUGAGAAAUACCAUGCUUUAAUUAAUUAGUACAUACCUUGUGCAGGGCACAUAAAAUAUAUCUGAUAUCGGUUUUUUGUUAUUUAUAUUUUUAUCUUUUCUACCCUAAUUCAGUAGCACCAUUUCUUGAUGUUAUUUCUCUAUAGGAUUGUUGCUUCCACUAUAGCUUUUCCCCUCUGAAAUGAAUUUGAAUUAGGUCACUUUAGUGUCAAGGUAAAAAUUUCUUUGUUCUCGGGAAGAGCCAAUAUCCUAGGUGAUCGUUAAAUAUUAUUAAUAAUUACCAAUUAAUAAUUAUGUGCUUGACUGUUUGUUGAUGACCAAUAAUUAUGUAUUUCACUUAUAAGUAACUAUCUAAUUUGCAUGUUCCAUUUUAUUUCAGAUGUAACACAUUCUUUGUAUGUAUUCUGAUGGAUUUUAGAUAUGCUCACUUGAUAUCAUUUUUUUCUCUUGACUCUAAAACAUGUAUGUACAAGCUAUUUAAGAGGGACAAGAAGGCGGAAUAGCCUCGCUUAUAUAGUUUCUGACUGCUAACAGUGCCAUCAUCAAUGAGCUUCACUCUAAAGUCUGUUCAUGGGAGGGUUGGGCUUCCUUCUAUGCUAGGGCUGAAAUUGGAGAAUAAACAAGGGGUUGACAUGCUUGUGAAGUUCUAUUAGGACAGCGUCUCCCCGCGUUCUCGAUCUGGCGCCGCCACAUAUCAUGAUUCUGGAUCGGGCGCAGGUCAUCGCCAUAAGAGAGCCUGGCUGGUGUGGUCUUCAUGCUUGGUGUGUAGAAGCACGGGGGAUGAGUAGGACGGGCAUGGUGAAGGAGCAGCUAGGCUGGAGCUCCGGCGUUGCUCGUGUCAUGGUCGAAUGGAGCCGGCCAUCACUAUGGGCUGCUGCUCACCGGUCGUCAUUCCCCAAUCUCAGUUGCUCAUCUUUGGCUUCACCAUCUUCCUCCCCUGAUCAUGCAUCUAUUUUAGAUCAUAUAAUUAUGCUAUAUCAUAUAUGUUGUUUAGUUCAGACUUGUGCAUGUGCAUGCAUUGGCAUUGAUUUAGACAAAGAUAUUGCAUGAUUUGUACAUAGAAGGAGUACGGAUGAUCUAGGAAUAAAUGUUUGAAUAAAGUUAGUAGUGAGAUUUAGAUAGAGGUUACCUGCACUGUUCUGUUUUAUGUAGAUUCUAAGCUGCAAAAUCAUACAUGGUCCU